AAUGAAAGAAAAGAAAUUGCCCAAAAUCCAAGUUGACAAGAUAAUGCCAUUUACAAAUGGUGCACAAAACCCGCAGAGAUCAUCAACUUAGGGCACCAAGAUUUACACUUUAAUCAUCAGCAAUUUAUCUUACUGAUAACUCAAUCAACUUGGAUAUUUCUCACCAUUGACUUAAGAAAGCAGAGCAGACACUGUGCUGGGGACUUUGAGCAAUGCAGAGGAAUGGAGAAUGCCCCCCAAGAACUUAGAAGAGAUGGACAUUUGCAUUAUUCUCUGUAAUGACUGCACAGUGUGGUGUUAACCUUAGAAGACUAGAACCUAAUGAGUUAUGGCAAACAGAUGUUAUGCACGUCCCUGAAUUUGGAAAACUAAGGUCCUCUUUGGAUUCCAGCACGAGGCAUCAAACCAUACCAUGGCAUGGCUAGGACCCAACCCGGUACCAAAAUGAAGAAAAUGACCCUACAGGACCCACAAUCCCGGAUGAUGUGGCUUCCUUGGAUGACACAGGCCCUGGACAUUACCUGGGGGAUGCUGAAGAAGACAACUCAGGAGGCCAAGCAAAUCCUGCUCCAGGCACAGACACCAUUCACUCCAGGAAGCUGCCAUUCAUUCGACAUAAGUAGGUGCUUCAUCUGAUAAGCGCUGCUUGUGUAAUUUAUCAAUGACAGAGAAGGCAGAUAGCAGCAUGCAUACUUGGGGCUGCAUUUGAAGGAGAGCAACAUCCCUUUGUUUUCACAGAGGAGAACAAGCAUGAGUUGAGAUUGUGGUGCUUCUUGAAGUCUCAUCCAGAUCAGAAACCUGCUGCUCUGUCCACAUUCCAUCCACCAAAGCAACCCAUAUGGCCAUGUCCAGCAUCAGAUGGGGAAAGGCAGUUCUCCUCUAGCACGAGGAGCUGCAAAGCCACAUGGCAAAGGAUGAGUGUGUAAAAAAUAAAUGCAGGAGGGCAGGAGGCAUUGGGAACAA
ensembl:lncRNA LINC02826 long intergenic non-protein coding RNA 2826